rnacentral:tRNA from 4 species
GGGCCCUUAGCUCAGUUGGGAGAGCGUCUGCUCCGCAAGUAGAAGGUCGACGGUUCAAAUCCGUUAGGGUCCA